rnacentral:rRNA from 1 species
UACGUAGGGUGCAAGCGUUGUCCGGAAUUAUUGGGCGUAAAGAGCUCGUAGGCGGCUUGUCACGUCGGCUGUGAAAACCCGGGGCUCAACCCCGGGCCUGCAGUCGAUACGGGCAAGCUAGAGUUCGGCAGGGGAGACUGGAAUUCCUGGUGUAGCGGUGAAAUGCGCAGAUAUCAGGAGGAACACCGGUGGCGAAGGCGGGUCUCUGGGCCGAUACUGACGCUGAGGAGCGAAAGCAUGGGUAGCGAACAGG